rnacentral:rRNA from 1 species
GACGAACGCUGGCGGCGUGCCUAAUACAUGCAAGUCGAGCGAAUCAAUGGGAGCUUGCUCCCUGAGAUUAGCGGCGGACGGGUGAGUAACACGUGGGUAACCUGCCUGUAAGACUGGGAUAACUUCGGGAAACCGGAGCUAAUACCGGAUACGUUCUUUUCUCGCAUGAGAAGAGAUGGAAAGAUGGUUCUGCUAUCACUUACAGAUGGACCCGCGGCGCAUUAGCUAGUUGGUGAGGUAACGGCUCACCAGGGCGACGAUGCGUAGCCGACCUGAGAGGGUGAUCGGCCACACUGGGACUGAGACACGGCCCAGACUCCUACGGGAGGCAGCAGUAGGGAAUCUUCCGCAAUGGACGAAAGUCUGACGGAGCAACGCCGCGUGAGCGAAGAAGGCCUUCGGGUCGUAAAGCUCUGUUGUUAGGGAAGAACAAGUACGAGAGUAACUGCUCGUACCUUGACGGUACCUAACCAGAAAGCCACGGCUAACUACGUGCCAGCAGCCGCAGUAA